rnacentral:rRNA from 1 species
CGGCUAUCAGCUAGUUGGUGAGGUAAUGGCUCACCAAGGCGACGACGGGUAGCCGGCCUGAGAGGGCGACCGGCCACACUGGGACUGAGACACGGCCCAGACUCCUACGGGAGGCAGCAGUGGGGAAUAUUGCACAAUGGGCGAAAGCCUGAUGCAGCAACGCCGCGUGAGGGAUGACGGCCUUCGGGUUGUAAACCUCUUUCAGCAGGGAAGAAGCGAAAGUGACGGUACCUGCAGAAGAAGCACCGGCUAACUACGUGCCAGCAGCCGCGGUAAUACGUAGGGUGCAAGCGUUGUCCGGAAUUAUUGGGCGUAAAGAGCUUGUAGGCGGUUUGUCGCGUCGGCAGUGAAAAUCCGGGGCUCAACCUCGGACCUGCAUUGGAUACGGGCAGACUAGAGUGCGGUAGGGGAGACCGGAAUUCCUGGUGUAGCGGUGGAAUGCGCAGAUAUCAGGAGGAACACCGAGUGGCGAAGG